UACAUGCCGAAUUAAGGUGAAACCGCGAAUGGCUCAUUAAAUCAGUUAUGGUUCCUUAGAUCGUACUCACAUUUACUUGGAUAACUGUGGUAAUUCUAGAGCUAAUACAUGCAAACCAGAGUUCCGACCAGAGAUGGAAGGAACGCUUUUAUUAGAUCAAAACCAAUCGGUGGUGGGUUUCGCCCGUCCAUCGUUAACUUUGGUGACUCUGAAUAACUUUGUGCUGAUCGCAUGGUCUCGUACCGGCGACGAAUCUUUCAAAUGUCUGCCUUAUCAACUGUCGAUGGUAGGUUCUGCGCCUACCAUGGUUGUAACGGGUAACGGGGAAUCAGGGUUCGAUUCCGGAGAGGGAGCCUGAGAAACGGCUACCACAUCCAAGGAAGGCAGCAGGCGCGCAAAUUACCCACUCCCGGCACGGGGAGGUAGUGACGAAAAAUAACGAUACGGGACUCAUCCGAGGCCCCGUAAUCGGAAUGAGUACACUUUAAAUCCUUUAACGAGGAUCCAUUGGAGGGCAAGUCUGGUGCCAGCAGCCGCGGUAAUUCCAGCUCCAAUAGCGUAUAUUAAAGUUGUUGCGGUUAAAAAGCUCGUAGUUGAAUCUGUGUGCCACGCUGUCGGUUCACCGCUCGCGGUGUUUAACUGGCAUGAUUGUGGGACGUCCUACCGGUGGGCUUAGCUCUGUGUAAAAGCGGGGCGGUCCAACUAAUAUCCCAUCGCGGUGCUCUUCAUCGAGUGUCGAGGUGGGCCGGUACGUUUACUUUGAACAAAUUAGAGUGCUUAAAGCAGGCUAUUUUCGCCUGAAUACUGUGUGCAUGGAAUAAUGGAAUAGGACCUCGGUUCUAUUUUGUUGGUUUUCGGAACCCCGAGGUAAUGAUUAAUAGGGACAGAUGGGGGCAUUCGUAUUGCGACGUUAGAGGUGAAAUUCUUGGAUCGUCGCAAGACGAACAGAAGCGAAAGCAUUUGCCAAAAAUGUUUUCAUUAAUCAAGAACGAAAGUUAGAGGUUCGAAGGCGAUCAGAUACCGCCCUAGUUCUAACCAUAAACGAUGCCAGCUAGCGAUCCGCCGAAGUUCCUCCGAUGACUCGGCGGGCAGCUUCCGGGAAACCAAAGCUUUUGGGUUCCGGGGGAAGUAUGGUUGCAAAGCUGAAACUUAAAGGAAUUGACGGAAGGGCACCACCAGGAGUGGAGCCUGCGGCUUAAUUUGACUCAACACGGGAAACCUCACCAGGCCCGGACACCGGAAGGAUUGACAGAUUGAUAGCUCUUUCUUGAUUCGGUGGGUGGUGGUGCAUGGCCGUUCU
rnacentral:rRNA from 1 species